GCUCUGCUGUUCUAUUUGAAAUGCAGAAUAACCUGGACUGGAGAGACAGUGCAGACCUGCUAUGCUCGGCUAGUUUCCUGGAUACUUAUUAAAGUCACAGCUAGAAGAGAGAGUGAGCAGACUGGUACUUGCAUGCAGGAAAUUGUCUGAUGGAAAAGACCAGAGAAAACAACCCCAGUGGUCCCCUCUGUGAAGAAUCAGAACUUCAAGGACUAGACAGAAAAUUGUAAAGCUUUCCCUGUUGCAUGAAAAGAAAAAUGGAAAGAUCCUAGCCUUCACUGAAAUUGACUGGGAGGCCUCACAUUUACCAGAAGAGACUAAGAGUUACUUUGGACUUUGGCCAGAAUUCUCAGUAGCUUCCCAAAAUCUCUGGUGAUUAACAUACUUCUUUGAGAUUAACUCUUAUCUCACAGAAUGUUUUUCUUCAUGAUGAUACUUGAUUAAAGUUUUGAGAUGUGUUUUGCUUAACUAUUUGUUGGAACUAAGGACUUUGGCAAGGUC
rnacentral:lncRNA from 1 species